rnacentral:rRNA from 1 species
GACGAACGCUGGCGGCGUGCUUAACACAUGCCAGUCGAACGGAAAGGCCCUGCUUGCCCGGUACUCGAGUGGCGAACGGGUGAGUAACACGUGGGUGAUCUGCCCUGCACUUCGGGAUAAGCUUGGGAAACUGGGUCUAAUACCGGAUAGGAGCCAUCUUUAGUGUGGUGGUUGGAAAGUUUUUUCGGUGUAGGAUGAGCUCGCGGCCUAUCAGCUUGUUGGUGGGGUAAUGGCCUACCAAGGCGGCGACGGGUAGCCGGCCUGAGAGGGUGUACGGCCACAUUGGGCCUGUGCUACGGCCCAGACUCCUACGGGAGGCAGCAGGGGGGAAUAUUGCACAAUGGGCGCAAGCCUGAUGCAGCGACGCCGCGUGGGGGAUGAAGGCCUUCGGGUUGUAAACUCCUUUCGCUAGGGACGAAGCUUUUUUGUGACGGUACCUAGAGAAGAAGCACCGGCUAACUACGUG